CAAGCGGCAAAGAUCGCAGGAGGGAGAAUCCUCUCUCGGAAAAAGGACGCGAACGGGCGUAGCUCCAUCUUUUAGUGAAAUCGCUAAACUAGCGGGUUCGAUUGAACUCGGCGUAUUCGACCGAAGGUGGUCAGAUAGCACUAUAUUCAUUGCUUGGUUCAGAUUGUCAUAAUAUACAUGCAGUAGUAGUUCUUUUUGUUGUAUUUUCGUACGUUGUACAUUUCGUCCAGAACUUAUAUUGGUCGUUUGUCGGUAUAGGAAUCGUCUAGCCAAUCGAUGAUGACUUGAAAGUUUCUCUUUACGUUGUGGUUGAUCAAGAUAUGUGCUGCUUUGCCAGUAAUUUUUCCUCUGAUCAUUAUUAAUGCUUGGACAUAUAUGUAUAUUAUGACCUUCGAAUUGUCGUAUGUCUUCCAUUAAUGUGGUUGCUACUUUCCUCCAAUUCCUGUAUUCGUUGUAAUCACUAUGAAAUUGUGUUGGUGAUUUAAACAUAUUCAGAUUAUGUUCUGUUCGUUGUGGAAUAGUUGCACUUCUUCCUAAUUGUAGUUCGGAUAACUGUCGUUGCAGAUCGGCGACUGCGUUGGUUAAUGCAAUUAAAUUAGCUUAUUCUGUAAUCUUGCUGGUGUAUUUGUUGAUUUAUUUUACUAAAAUUCGGUCUCCAGUUGUAUUCUUGGAGCGCUGCUAUGAAAUCGUGUUGUUUGCCAAGGAUGGUAUAUUGAUAAUUUACUUUGAAUUUGUUGUCAUAUUAGGAUUUUUAAGUGAAUCCCUUUGGAUUGACGUUGUGUGGGAUGAUGCACUGGUUAACUUCUUGGAUGGUUUAAAUGAAUAUUUUUUUGUUUCCAGGGACUAGGUUCUUCCCUUUCAGGCAGACUGACAAGGGAUAUUAUUGAUGAUCCUUUUUUGUUGCUGCCCCACGUUGGGCGCCAGUUAAAUUAUUUACCCGUUAGGAAUAAAAUAAAUAUAUCCUUUUAAGUCAGCCAAUGAGAUUUUUUCUGACUAAUCCUUAAUUUGUAUAAUAUUUCACCGCAUACACAUGUACUUCAAUAUUGUAUAUAUUACACUUAACUGUACAAGUGGUAACUUGUUACUCGGCAGUCGAUAAUGGUAAAGUGACGUGGAGGCUAUUGUAUGCUGGUUGUUUACUAGUAAAAAACUAUUUGAGUUGUUAUUUUUUGUUGUACUGAUAGUGCGCUUCUAUUGUUCUACGAUUAAGUUGUUUUUAUGAUUUUUCUUUAAUGUUUACUGAAACAUAAGGUUGUGGUUAAAGGUUAAAGUAUUAACUCACGCGAACUUAGCCCUUCCUUUCUUAUUUUUAUUUCUGUUUCUCCAUUAUUUUGAGAAAGUAGUGGAAUUUGUUUACAAUAUCAAAUGACAAUUUAGAGCUGGCAAAAUAUGUCUUCCAAUAAUAUCGACUAAACUAGAGCAGACAUCGAUUAUAAUAAGUGGAAUGUAAGUUUUCAGCGAAAACUGUGAUUUCGUUUGACAGAUUUUGCAUGGAUGAAAACACAAGUUUUCGAACGAAAAACCAUUUUUUCAAUGUCGGCCCGAACGUAGUAUUACAUUAUUAAUUACCAAAAUUUCAUCAAAUUCAAUAUUUAUUACAAUGUUAUUUACAUUAUGUCAAGAAAGUGUUUUAACAAGAGAAAUUUAUAGUUUUCGCAAUUCUUUUGCAAGUAAAUGCCAUAUUCUGAUUCGAAUAUUUUUAAUAUUUUUAAGUUUUUUUGUAUAGUUAUAUAGGAUUUUUAAAAGGAUAUGCAAAAAGAAAUUGGUAAAAUUCAGCAUAAAUAGCGCAUUUUAAACACAAAAUUCAAAAACAUUCAAUAUUUAAUGUGUCAAAAAAGUGUUUUGACAUUGCACUUAAACAAAAUAAAUAGUGGAACAAGAAACAAAAACUUCAAAUUAAUGUUUUGUAUGGUUUCCCUUUACAGCAUAAACAGCCUAUAGUCGAGAUUCCAGAGUAAAUUAGAUUUUAUGCGUCGUAGUUUCUGAGUAUUCUGUGCCCCUCUUCCGAUAUUAUGGUUUUCAGCUCUCUUCGAUGUUUCGGACUCCGUUUAGAUACUUUUUUCUUAAAAAAAACUCAUAAAUUUUCAUGUCUGGACUCUGGGCUGGAGUUUCCAUAACUUUCCCACAAUUAUAGAGCAUCUAAAUCUUCACAGAAUGAGCGUUAUGUUUUGGGUCAUUAUCCUAGCAAAAUUGAAAUUUCGGCUUGUUGUCUUCAGUUAAACUAAACUUGUGAGCACUGCUUAACAAAUAGGUUUUUAAAAUCCUUAAGGGGCUAUACCGGUGUGACAUUUUCAAAAAUCGAUUUUUUUAUUUUUUGCUAAUUCGAUAGUUAAUACUUUCCAAAAUAUCCCCUGAAAACGGUAAAGUUGUAUCUUCAAUAGUUUUGGAAUGGCAGCGUUCUAAAGAGUGACCGCACGCACGUAUAAGCCGCUAUAGUCGAAAAUUUUAAUGCGUUUUUCUCGAAAGGACAUUUCACAAAACUGCUGACAUCAAAACUCAAGGAAAAAUUGACCGAUCGACUUCAAAUUUGAAAUUUGAUUUUCGAUACGAAAAAACGGUUAUUGUAUCGGAAAUAUAUUCAACUUUAAUAACCA